rnacentral:misc_RNA from 1 species
UACUCUCACACUCUCUGAUCCUUUGGAUUGGGAGUGGUGGACUUGGGUGUUGCUGUUACUGCGCGGCUCACCUCAAAUGCAUUAGUGCAACUCCUGGUUGGACAUAGUACGGCGUGAUAAGUGUCUUCGCCGGCACCUUGUAAAAGGGUGGCCAAUUGGGAGCUCUGUGCUUUCAAACUGUCUUUGGACAAUCUCUGACA